AUUGAACGCCGGCGGCAGGCCUAACACAUGCAAGUCGGACGGUAACAGGAAACAGCUUGCUGUUUCGCUGACGAGUGGCGGACGGGUGAGUAAUGUCUAGGAAACUGCCUGAUGGAGGGGGAUAACUACUGGAAACGGUAGCUAAUACCGCAUAACGUCGCAAGACCAAAGAGGGGGACCUUCGGGCCUCUUGCCAUCGGAUGUGCCCAGAUGGGAUUAGCUAGUAGGUGGGGUAACGGCUCACCUAGGCGACGAUCCCUAGCUGGUCUGAGAGGAUGACCAGCCACACUGGAACUGAGACACGGUCCAGACUCCUACGGGAGGCAGCAGUGGGGAAUAUUGCACAAUGGGCGCAAGCCUGAUGCAGCCAUGUCGCGUGUAUGAAGAAGGCCUUCGGGUUGUAAAGUACUUUCAGCGGGGAGGAAGGGAGUAAAGUUAAUACCUUUGCUCAUUGACGUUACCCGCAGAAGAAGCACCGGCUAACUCCGUGCCAGCAGCCGCAGUAA
rnacentral:rRNA from 1 species